rnacentral:lncRNA from 1 species
AAUGUAGUUUGUCACCGAACAAAAAGAUCUAAACCUACCGGCUCAAUUUGGCUAAAGAAAGAAUAAAAUUUCAAAACAAUCAGGGUAGGCUUCAAAAGGCUCACAGGACCAAGCACUUUUGCCUCAGUGUGUAUAUGACAAAGAUCAAUCGACAGCAGAGAAAAAUUGCAAGUUCUAGAAAUGUAAAUGCAUGGAACACUCUUUAUAAGUAAAAUUGGAAAAAUAAAGUUUGGCUAUGAACCUGACAGUUAUG